AAGUCGUAACAAGGUUUCCGUAGGUGAACCUGCGGAAGGAUCAUUAACACGUAUCCAACGUUAAACAACCCUGUGAACUUUCAGCCUGCUCUUGUAACCAUGAGGAACAGCAAUCCCGGUAAAUCAUUGCAAACAGUUUUGAUUCGGGACCUCUGUCCAAAAGGAGUUACAAUUGAGCGGUAGAGGCAGUGGCAUGGCUUCCCCAAGCAGUUAGUGAAUGACAGUGUCACUGAUUGUGUAAGGAUAACGCCUCACGGUUGCCAGAGGUCGAUCACCGACCGGCAGACAUGUCACAGGGUCACCACGCCCCUUAAUUCCUACCUGGUGGUAACGCACUGGGUCAAAAAAACCGAACAACUGUUAACAAUGGAUAUCUUGGUUCUC
rnacentral:misc_RNA from 1 species